rnacentral:rRNA from 1 species
GUGGGGAAUAUUGGUCAAUGGGCGCGAGCCUGAACCAGCCAAGUAGCGUGCAGGACGACGGCCCUAUGGGUUGUAAACUGCUUUUAUGCGGGGAUAAAGUGCGGCACGUGUGCCGUUUUGUAGGUACCGCAUGAAUAAGGACCGGCUAAUUCCGUGCCAGCAGCCGCGGUAAUACGGAAGGUCCGGGCGUUAUCCGGAUUUAUUGGGUUUAAAGGGAGCGCAGGCGGGAGAUUAAGCGUGACGUGAAAUGUAGCCGCUCAACGGCUGAGUUGCGUCGCGAACUGGUUUUCUUGAGUGAGUGCGACGUGGACGGAAUUCGUGGUGUAGCGGUGAAAUGCUUAGAUAUCACGAAGAACCCCGAUUGCGAAGGCAGUCCACGAGCCCUUAACUGACGCUAAAGCUCGAAGGUGCGGGUAUCGAACAGG